UUGGGAUUGUCGCUGCUGAUACAUGCAGUCGAGCGGACAGAAGGGAGCUUGCUCCCGGAUGUUAGCGGCGGACGGGUGAGUAACACGUGGGUAACCUGCCUGUAAGACUGGGAUAACUCCGGGAAACCGGAGCUAAUACCGGAUAGUUCCUUGAACCGCAUGGUUCAAGGAUGAAAGACGGUUUCGGCUGUCACUUACAGAUGGACCCGCGGCGCAUUAGCUAGUUGGUGAGGUAACGGCUCACCAAGGCGACGAUGCGUAGCCGACCUGAGAGGGUGAUCGGCCACACUGGGACUGAGACACGGCCCAGACUCCUACGGGAGGCAGCAGUAGGGAAUCUUCCGCAAUGGACGAAAGUCUGACGGAGCAACGCCGCGUGAGUGAUGAAGGUUUUCGGAUCGUAAAGCUCUGUUGUUAGGGAAGAACAAGUGCAAGAGUAACUGCUUGCACCUUGACGGUACCUAACCAGAAAGCCACGGCUAACUACGUGCCAGCAGCCGCGGUAAUACGUAGGUGGCAAGCGUUGUCCGGAAUUAUUGGGCGUAAAGGGCUCGCAGGCGGUUUCUUAAGUCUGAUGUGAAAGCCCCCGGCUCAACCGGGGAGGGUCAUUGGAAACUGGGAAACUUGAGUGCAGAAGAGGAGAGUGGAAUUCCACGUGUAGCGGUGAAAUGCGUAGAGAUGUGGAGGAACACCAGUGGCGAAGGCGACUCUCUGGUCUGUAACUGACGCUGAGGAGCGAAAGCGUGGGGAGCGAACAGGAUUAGAUACCCUGGUAGUCCACGCCGUAAACGAUGAGUGCUAAGUGUUAGGGGGUUUCCGCCCCUUAGUGCUGCAGCUAACGCAUUAAGCACUCCGCCUGGGGAGUACGGUCGCAAGACUGAAACUCAAAGGAAUUGACGGGGGCCCGCACAAGCGGUGGAGCAUGUGGUUUAAUUCGAAGCAACGCGAAGAACCUUACCAGGUCUUGACAUCCUCUGACAACCCUAGAGAUAGGGCUUUCCCUUCGGGGACAGAGUGACAGGUGGUGCAUGGUUGUCGUCAGCUCGUGUCGUGAGAUGUUGGGUUAAGUCCCGCAACGAGCGCAACCCUUGAUCUUAGUUGCCAGCAUUCAGUUGGGCACUCUAAGGUGACUGCCGGUGACAAACCGGAGGAAGGUGGGGAUGACGUCAAAUCAUCAUGCCCCUUAUGACCGGGGCUACCACGUGCUAAAAGGAACAAAAAAGGGCUGCAAAACGCCAGGGUUUACCCC
rnacentral:rRNA from 1 species